UACAGAGGUCCCAAGCGUUACUGAGAAUCACUGGGUUUAAAGGGUGCGUAGGUGGUCCGUUAAGUCAGUUGUGAAAUCCCCGGGCUCAACCCGGGAAAUGCUUCUGAUACUGGCGGACUUGAGGCCAGUAGGGGUCACUAGAACUGACGGUGGAGCGGUGAAAUGCGUAGAUAUCUGGAGGAACAUCUGUGGCGAAGGCGACUGCCUGGACCAGCACUGACACUGAGGCACGAAAGCGUGGGGAGCAAACAGG
rnacentral:rRNA from 1 species